AAGACUAUACUUCCAGGACCAUUUCUAUAGUUUGUUACUAGAGAAAUUUCUCUGAAUGUGUAGAGCACCCGAAACCACUAGGAGGAGAUGGAGUGUUUUCCCCUGAGCGUGAAGCCGGCUCUUGGUGUUGCUUUGGUAACUGCCAUUUGCCACUGAUGAUCGUUUUCUCUCUCCUUGGAGAGAGUAAGAGGGAGGGAACACCGUCCAAGUGGG